GUCGAGCGGUAGCACAGAGAGCUUGCUCUCGGGUGACGAGCGGCGGACGGGUGAGUAAUGUCUGGGAAACUGCCUGAUGGAGGGGGAUAACUACUGGAAACGGUAGCUAAUACCGCAUAACGUCGCAAGACCAAAGUGGGGGACCUUCGGGCCUCAUGCCAUCAGAUGUGCCCAGAUGGGAUUAGCUAGUAGGUGGGGUAAUGGCUCACCUAGGCGACGAUCCCUAGCUGGUCUGAGAGGAUGACCAGCCACACUGGAACUGAGACACGGUCCAGACUCCUACGGGAGGCAGCAGUGGGGAAUAUUGCACAAUGGGCGCAAGCCUGAUGCAGCCAUGCCGCGUGUAUGAAGAAGGCCUUCGGGUUGUAAAGUACUUUCAGCGAGGAGGAAGGCGYYAAGGUUAAUAACCUUGGUGAUUGACGUUACUCGCAGAAGAAGCACCGGCUAACUCCGUGCCAGCAGCCGCGGUAAUACGGAGGGUGCAAGCGUUAAUCGGAAUUACUGGGCGUAAAGCGCACGCAGGCGGUCUGUCAAGUCGGAUGUGAAAUCCCCGGGCUCAACCUGGGAACUGCAUUCGAAACUGGCAGGCUAGAGUCUUGUAGAGGGGGGUAGAAUUCCAGGUGUAGCGGUGAAAUGCGUAGAGAUCUGGAGGAAUACCGGUGGCGAAGGCGGCCCCCUGGACAAAGACUGACGCUCAGGUGCGAAAGCGUGGGGAGCAAACAGGAUUAGAUACCCUGGUAGUCCACGCCGUAAACGAUGUCGACUUGGAGGUUGUGCCCUUGAGGCGUGGCUUCCGGAGCUAACGCGUUAAGUCGACCGCCUGGGGAGUACGGCCGCAAGGUUAAAACUCAAAUGAAUUGACGGGGGCCCGCACAAGCGGUGGAGCAUGUGGUUUAAUUCGAUGCAACGCGAAGAACCUUACCUACUCUUGACAUCCAGAGAACUUAGCAGAGAUGCUUUGGUGCCUUCGGGAACUCUGAGACAGGUGCUGCAUGGCUGUCGUCAGCUCGUGUUGUGAAAUGUUGGGUUAAGUCCCGCAACGAGCGCAACCCUUAUCCUUUGUUGCCAGCGGUCCGGCCGGGAACUCAAAGGAGACUGCCAGUGAUAAACUGGAGGAAGGUGGGGAUGACGUCAAGUCAUCAUGG
rnacentral:rRNA from 1 species